AUCCAGUUGACGAGUUCAAAACAGGACGAAACGAGUCUUGUAU
rfam:Schistosoma curassoni strain Dakar, Senegal genome assembly, scaffold: SCTD_scaffold0001161